rnacentral:rRNA from 1 species
AAGUAUGAGUUAGUGGCGGACGGGUGAGUAACGCGUGGGCAACCUGCCUUACACAGGGGGAUAACAGUUAGAAAUGACUGCUAAUACCGCAUAAGACCACAAAACCGCAUGGUUUGGUGGUAAAAACUCCGGUGGUGUAAGAUGGGCCCGCGUCUGAUUAGGUAGUUGGUGGGGUAACGGCCUACCAAGCCGACGAUCAGUAGCCGACCUGAGAGGGUGACCGGCCACAUUGGGACUGAGACACGGCCCAGACUCCUACGGAAGGCAGCAG